UGGGGAAUAUUGGACAAUGGGCGCAAGCCUGAUCCAGCCAUGCCGCGUGGAUGAAGAAGGCCCUAGGGUUGUAAAGUCCUUUCGACGGAGACGAUAAUGACGGUAUCCGUAGAAGAAGCCCCGGCUAAUUUCGUGCCAGCAGCCGCGGUAAUACGAAAGGGGCUAGCGUUGUUCGGAAUUACUGGGCGUAAAGCGCACGUAGGCGGUCGUGUAAGAUGGGGGUGAAAUCCCGGAGCUCAACUCCGGAACUGCCUUCAUGACUGCAUGGCUAGAGGAUGCGAGAGGUUGGCGGAAUUCCGAGUGUAGAGGUGAAAUUCGUAGAUAUUCGGAAGAACACCAGUGGCGAAGGCGGCCAACUGGCGCAUUUCUGACGCUGAGGUGCGAAAGCGUGGGGAGCAAACAGGAUUAGAUACCCCUGUAGUCCCUGAGCGGGCUGGCAAGGCGCAU
rnacentral:rRNA from 1 species